CGGCGGACGGGUGAGUAAUGUCUGGGAAACUGCCCGAUGGAGGGGGAUAACUACUGGAAACGGUAGCUAAUACCGCAUAACGUCGCAAGACCAAAGAGGGGGACCUUCGGGCCUCUUGCCAUCAGAUGAACCCAUAUGGGAUUAGCUAGUAGGUAAGGUAACGGCUUACCUAGGCGACGAUCCCUAGCUGGUCUGAGAGGAUGAUCAGCCACACUGGAACUGAGACACGGUCCAG
rnacentral:rRNA from 1 species